GGAAGGACAGAAAGCAAAAGUGCAUGCAGGGAUUCAGGGACGGAGACCACUCAGAUGAUCUGGGUGACAAGGUUGGAAAGAUGAGUGGCGGGUAAAAAGUGAAGAGUUUCAAAUGUCAGUCUGCACUUUGCAUGCAAAUCCACAGUGGCUACUGGAGAGCCUGUUACUCUUCUCAGUUUAGAGUCUUAAUUUUAGGUUCUAAGUACAAUAUAAACUGUCACAAUAAGAGGGCAGAUUAGAAUGCAUUUCGAAGCUGCCGUGGUUCCCUAGGAGCAGCACAGAGCAGGAGUCUGCCUCGGCAUAGGGCCCAUGGCUUGUCACGUGAGAGUCUCAGACCCUGUCCACAUCUGAAAACACUCAGAACUCAAGGCUGGAGACUGUAAAUCUCUCACUUAGCUGGCAGUCUUUGGUGUGAUUCAUUCAUGCCAGAUUCUCAAUAAGAGUAUUCCUAGGCCCCAUCUUUCUGGGUGCCCAGGAACUAUGUGAGUGUGAGGCUGGGACACGUCAGAAUAUUUCAGGCCAAGCUUCUUCACGUCCCCUGCGGUCUGCCAGAACGACCUCAUUUCGCAGAGGUGUAUUAUUCUCCUACUGUAUGCAUGGCUCUGUGCGGAUUACCAAGGGAAAGGUCACUACCCCAAGGAGUGUGCAAUCCAGCUGGGAGAUAAGACAAGCACGCAUGACAUUUCAGUAACAGCUACAAACACACCUGGAAAAGGCUCACUAAAUAGUCAAAUAAUAAAGCCCAGGACUCAGCCCACAAGACUUAUGAGCAACUAUUUACACCCAUGGCAGCCUGGAGAGGAGCAGGGGCAACCGGGAGAGCAGAAGGAACUUGAAGGAGUCAAUGGCAAUGGCUGUGGCCUUGACAAGCAGGAGGCUCUGAAUGUAAUGGUCAGUGGGUUAACCAUCAUCACACUGAGGCCAAUCCUAACCAGCCCAGCAUGGAUUAUGAGCUAAUUUCUGAACCCACAAAUAAACAAAAAGCACCUCAAUGACAAUCACGGGUGCCCCCAGACUGUCCAGUGGUGCGAUGCUGGAAGAGACACAGCGAACUUUUUGAAAUCUUUGUUAUUCUCCUUGGACCCUUUCAAUAAAGAUAAUCAUGAUAAAGCCAG
rnacentral:lncRNA from 1 species